AUUGAACGCUGGCGGCAUGCCUUACACAUGCAAGUCGAACGGUAACAGGUCUUCGGAUGCUGACGAGUGGCGAACGGGUGAGUAAUACAUCGGAACGUGCCCGAUCGUGGGGGAUAACGAAGCGAAAGCUCCGCUAAUACCGCAUAAGAUCUACGGAUGAAAGCAGGGGACCGCAAGGCCUUGCGCGAACGGAGCGGCCCAUGGCAGAUUAGGUAGUUGGCGGGAUAAAAGCUUACCAAGCCGAGGAUCUGUAGCUGGUCUGAGAGGACGACCAGCCACACUGGGACGGAGACACGGCCCAGACUCCUACGGGAGGCAGCAGUGGGGAAUUUUGGACAAUGGGCGAAAGCCUGAUCCAGCCAUGCCGCGUGCAGGAUGAAGGCCUUCGGGUUGUAAACUGCUUUUGUACGGAACGAAAAGACUCUUUCUAAUAAAGAGGGUCCAUGACGGUACCGUAAGAAUAAGCACCGGCUAACUACGUGCCAGCAGCCGCCGUAAAAC
rnacentral:rRNA from 1 species